rnacentral:tRNA from 1 species
GGUAAGAUGGCCGAGAAGGUGGCAGGUUGUAGCCCUGUGCAGGCGGGAGCCGAUCCCGCUCUUAUCA